rnacentral:lncRNA from 1 species
CGUAGACCUCAAACUCAACCCCGCCGGUGACCUUCACGCUGUCGGUGGCCACGUACGUCACCUCCGACGACUCCUUGUCCAGCCGGUCGUGGCGGAGCGUGAACGAGGCCUAGUCGGAGUUCGGAAUCCUGGCGCCGUUGAUCUCGAGAGACAAGCCAAUGUCACGGCGGAGGUGGCAGAGCGUGAGGUGGUCCGGCACGCUGUCGAUGACGCACGGCGCGAUCUGGACGUAGAACAACCGGAUUUCGAACCAGGCCGAGUGCGUCAGCGACUGCCCGUUCAGCAUCUGGUACGAAUUAGCGCUCUUCGUCUUGGGCGCCAUGGACGACGCGUCC